rnacentral:lncRNA from 1 species
UCUCAAGGGGUGGGGAAGGCAGCUAGCGGCAGCCAAGAGCCCUGGCACAAGGAAGAGACCUGGAGUCCAACACCGGCUCUGCUACCGAGCUCGCCGUGUGACCUUGGGGGAGUCACUCCUUUCACCGAGCCUCAGUUGUCUCGCCUGUAAAAUGGGAACGCAGCAGCCACGCGUCUUGGGAUGCUAGCCGUUCAGCACGGGACGCGGCGGCCGGGCAUGGGGAACAAGGUGACAGAUGGGUCUCUUCCUUCCCACCCUCGUCUCUCGCGCUCCCUCUCGGAGCUCCGCUCUCCAGCCUCUCGCGGGAAUCUUCUGAAGUUCUGGACUCAGGACCCGAGGAGGAAGAGGAGGAGGAGGGAGAGGAAGUUAGGCCCUGAGAACCUGUGCACCUUCCCGUCAGGAGAGCAGCAGCGCAGGGACGCAGGCUGUGGGGCCCGCCGCCCCCCUGGCCCAGGCCUGGCCGCAGUGCCCGGCGCCUGCCAGUAGCGCCCUGCCAGCCUCACUGGGGGCCCCCGGGCUGGGGGUCGCCCCCAAGAUGGUGGCGGCCCCAGGAAGGACUGUGCUGCCAGCCCCAGCCUCUGGCUGCUAGGCCCUCCGCACCCCGGCCCCUCACGCCCAGCCCGGCCCGCGAGG